rnacentral:rRNA from 1 species
AUAAGAGGUCCCGCCUGCCCUGUGACCACAAGUUUAACGGCCGCGGUAUUUUGACCGUGCAAAGGUAGCGUAAUCACUUGUCUUUUAAAUGAAGACCUGUAUGAAUGGCAUAACGAGGGCUAAGCUGUCUCCUCUCCCCAGUCAAUGAAAUUGAUCUUUCCGUGCAGAAGCGGGAAUGAACACAUAAGACGAGAAGACCCUAUGGAGCUUAAGACACAAGGCAGCAAACGUUAAAACCCCUGAGCAAACAGACAUAACCAAGUUGAUGCCUGCCCUUUUGUCUUUGGUUGGGGCGACCGCGGAGGAACAAAAAUCCCCCACGUGGAACAGGACCUGCUCCUCAAAACCAGAGCCUCAGCUCUAGUAAACAGAACAUCUGACCAAAAAGAUCCGGUACUACCGAUCAACGGACCGAGUUACCCUAGGGAUAACAGCGCAAUCCCCUUUCAGAGCCCAUAUCGACAAGGGGGUUUACGACCUCGAUGUUGGAUCAGGACCCCCUAAUGGUGCAGCCGCUAUUAAGGGUUCGUUUGUUCAACGAUUAAAGUCC